rnacentral:rRNA from 1 species
UACGGAGGGUGCAAGCGUUAUCCGGAUUCACUGGGUUUAAAGGGUGCGUAGGAGGGCAGGUAAGUCCGUGGUGAAAUCUCCAAGCUUAACUUGGAAACUGCCAUGGAUACUAUCUGUCUUGAAUAUUGUGGAGGUGAGCGGAAUAUGUCAUGUAGCGGUGAAAUGCUUAGAUAUGACAUAGAACACCAAUUGCGAAGGCAGCUCGCUACACAUAUAUUGGCUCUGAGGCACGAAAGCGUGGGGAUCAAACAGG